CUACCAAGGCGACGAUCAGUAGCUGGUCUGAGAGGAUGAUCAGCCACAUUGGGACUGAGACACGGCCCAAACUCCUACGGGAGGCAGCAGUGGGGAAUAUUGGACAAUGGGGGCAACCCUGAUCCAGCCAUGCCGCGUGAGUGAUGAAGGCCCUAGGGUUGUAAAGCUCUUUUGUGCGGGAAGAUAAUGACGGUACCGCUAGAAGAA
rnacentral:rRNA from 1 species